UACGUAGGGGGCAAGCGUUGUCCGGAAUUAUUGGGCGUAAAGCGCGCGCAGGCGGCUUCUUAAGUCUGAUGUGAAAGCCCACGGCUCAACCGUGGAGGGUCAUUGGAAACUGGGAAGCUUGAGUGCAGAAGAGGAGAGUGGAAUUCCACGUGUAGCGGUGAAAUGCGUAGAUAUGUGGAGGAACACCAGUGGCGAAAGCGGCUCUCUGGUCUGUAACUGACGCUGAGGCGCGAAAGCGUGGGGAGCAAACAGGG
rnacentral:rRNA from 1 species